ACCUACUUAACCCAGUGGUUAGAGUAGUGCUUUCAUAUAGCUGGAGUCAUUGGUUCAAAUCCAAUAGUAGGCA
rnacentral:tRNA from 1 species